rnacentral:rRNA from 1 species
UACAGAGGGUGCAAGCGUUGUUCGGAAUUAUUGGGCGUAAAGGGUGCGUAGGUGGUAAGGCAAGUCAGGUGUGAAAUCUCCGGGCUCAACCCGGAAAUGGCAUUCGAAACUACCUUGCUAGAGGGUUUGAGGGGGGACUGGAAUACUUGGUGUAGCAGUGAAAUGCGUAGAUAUCAAGUGGAACACCAGUGGCGAAGGCGAGUCCCUGGAAAACUCCUGACACUGAGGCACGAAAGCUAGGGGAGCAAACAGG